rnacentral:rRNA from 1 species
CCUACGGGAGGCAGCAGUGGGGAAUUUUGGACAAUGGGCGAAAGCCUGAUCCAGCAAUGCCGCGUGAGUGAAGAAGGCCUUCGGGUUGUAAAGCUCUUUUGUCAGGGAAGAAACGGUGUGGGCUAAUAUCCUGCACUAAUGACGGUACCUGAAGAAUAAGCACCGGCUAACUACGUGCCAGCAGCCGCGGUAAUACGUAGGGUGCAAGCGUUAAUCGGAAUUACUGGGCGUAAAGCGUGCGCAGGCGGUUUUGUAAGUCUGUCGUGAAAUCCCCGGGCUCAACCUGGGAAUUGCGAUGGAGACUGCAAGGCUAGAAUCUGGCAGAGGGGGGUAGAAUUCCACGUGUAGCAGUGAAAUGCGUAGAGAUGUGGAGGAACACCGAUGGCGAAGGCAGCCCCCUGGGUCAAGAUUGACGCUCAUGCACGAAAGCGUGGGGAGCAAACAGGAUUAGAUACCCUGGUAGUCCACGCCCUAAACGAUGUCUACUAGUUGUCGGGUUUUAAUUAACUUGGUAACGCAGCUAACGCGUGAAGUAGACCGCCUGGGGAGUACGGUCGCAAGNUUAAAACUUAAAGNGAAUUGGAGNGNGAGAGNGACGACGACGACGACGAGGAGGAGG